AAGCAGUGAGGGACCAAAUACAAGACUUAACAUUAUCACUACGAUCCGCGACUCGUUUUGCCUAACAGUUUUUUAGUUGAACUUAUGCUGCUUAAAGAUACUAGAGAACUGACUUGAAUUUCUGGGUUCAAAUGAAUAUCUUGACAACAUUACACACCGUCUGUUGUGAAAUGGGGAUGCAACAAUGUCAAUGGAAACCAAUUAGGAUUACUCGGGAGAGCUUCUGUGCAGUUUUAGAAGCAAUGAAAGUCACACAACAAAGAACCGUCGAGGAUUGCAACUGGUGUUGCGUUUCCAAAGCUAAAAAAAAGGAGAGACGACAGUCGCCAUCGACUCGUGGAUGUCACGUCUAUUUAAGGCCGAGUAUUCUAUCCAAGAUAUACAUGUGAGCUAAAAGCAAGAUCUCCAGCUGGGAAGGAAAGAAAAACAGAGAACAAUCAAGACGAUGGAAAACAUUAAAGGAAAAGGAAAUAUGGCAGUCAUAUUUACAUUUGUAAGCAGUUUAAACUCCGCAACUCCGCUCAAGUCAGGGUUACAGCAUUGAAAAAAAACAAACGGUUACUCUUGCUAGUGAGACAACUGUGUGGUUCUACAUUCCAACGAGGUUCGCUAUUCUCCAGUAAAACAAAGAACAACAAUGGAUGACUACUAAUCAACCCUGCUGCUAUUCAAAGUGGACUUAUUUACAAAAAUACAAUGUCAUGACUGAGUAGCAGCUUUUCUGUCAUAUUUGACUUUUCAUAAGAGAUUAACUGGUGGAAAUACAGCAGAACAGUAUAAGAAUUACUUAUAUCACAUGAUCAGUCCAUAACUUGAUCUUUGAAGAGACCUCGUUCUAUUUAUAACUAAUGAACUGCAUCGGGUAUUGAGUUGCCGCAUACUGUUCCAAAAACUGUCACACUCUUCUGCCAAUCUUAAGAAAGGAAUCUGUUCUCCUAGUUUAUUCGUGGUAGGCGAAGAACAUGGCCAUAAGCUUCUCUCCAUGUUUUGUCGGUCAGGUAGCAACAGGUCAAACUGAGUGGUGACCAUAUUCUGUCAACACUACUCCCUUAAGAAAAAACGAAUAAAUAUAGAUGCUGUUCCAGAAUUUCCCCUGACCGUGUUCUUUUAUUUUUAUGCCUUACAAAGGCAGGAGGUGAAAAAGGGAACCAUCACUAGCUGUUUUGUUUUCUUUUUUGUUCGUCCUUUUUUUUAUAUAUAUAUUCUUAAGAUUCUGGCCUUCCGAUUCAUUUUCAGUGGAGGUGAACUUGAGAAAAUAAGCGAGAAAGCAGAAACUUUUCGUAAUGUACUUAAAGCUCAUUAGAGAAAGGCUGAAAUAACAAACUGAAACUAACCAAAACCCCAUUCCUCCCUAAAAAGUAGGCCUUUUGUAUUACGUAACUUCUCCUAUAGGCAAAUCUUUCAUCAUGAAUGAUUACCAACAGGUAAUCCCACAUAAAGAAGUCAAUUUGUGAAGCGUCUGAUUAUUUUUUGGGAAAACUUUCGUGCGCGAUUGGUAAGUGUCUAAAGUUUCCUUACAGACCAGAUCCCAGGAGCCCAGAUAUAGCAUGGGAGUUAUUACAAAGCGCGACAAGUGUUAUUAGAAAGUGCAACUAUCAUUACAAAAUACGACACAACAGACAUCCUAAACAACGCCCAGUUGUAGUUGUAAACUGAUAACGUGAUAACUUACAGGUCAAAGUUCGUUCUUUAAUAUUUUUGACAGUAGAGGAUUUGAAGUGCAGUGAGUAACUCGAGGCAGCUGGUAUUUGAGACUGAGUGAUUUCCGUUAUCAGGUGUUAAUUAUAGCCCACAACUCUGCUGAUCAAUAUGAGAAAUGAAUGCGAAAUCAAUCGAUCACGACUGUCCAAUAAAUAUUUAGCAAAAAACUUUUAAAAUAGAAGGGCUCUUUUGUCACAGUUUAAUUUAGUAGCCUUUGAAGAGCGUUAAGAAAGUAGAGUGUGGAAGAAUAAUAAAAAUUUCAGCUUAAGGCUGUCCGAUUUAUGGGCAGUAGUUAUUUUCCGGACUAAAAGGAAAGCCAGCUUCGCUACUGCUUACGUUAAGCCAGAUGAAUAUCAUGUUAUCCGAACACGAUAUUCAUAUCAACUGGUGUCAGUCUCACAUUUACGUAAUUAUCAUUAAGCAGUUAACAGUAGUUGUGAGUAGCAGUUCAGGUCAGAAGUCUGACUAAAGGUUUUCUGUUCUUUCCCAGAUGAAAGUCACUUUGAUAAUGCCACUGUUUGUUCUUUUUGGCGUUUCCAAGACUAUAACUGCAGUCAACAGAAGGUUGAGGCAUACCUUGGACUCCCCUUGGUCACGUAUUAUGAUAGUUCUCCCCCGUCUUCAAGA